AUUGAACGCUGGCGGCAGGCCUAACACAUGCAAGUCGAACGGUAACAGGAAGAAGCUUGCUUCUUUGCUGACGAGUGGCGGACGGGUGAGUAAUGUCUGGGAAACUGCCUGAUGGAGGGGGAUAACUACUGGAAACGGUAGCUAAUACCGCAUAACGUCGCAAGACCAAAGAGGGGGACCUUCGGGCCUCUUGCCAUCGGAUGUGCCCAGAUGGGAUUAGCUAGUAGGUGGGGUAACGGCUCACCUAGGCGACGAUCCCUAGCUGGUCUGAGAGGAUGACCAGCCACACUGGAACUGAGACACGGUCCAGACUCCUACGGGAGGCAGCAGUGGGGAAUAUUGCACAGUGGGCGCAAGCCUGAUGCAGCCAUGCCGCGUGUAUGCAGAAGGCCUUCGGGUUGUAAAGUACUUUCAGCGGGGAGGAAGGGAGUAAAGUUAAUACCUUUGCUCAUUGACGUUACCCGCAGAAGAAGCACCGGCUAACUCCGUG
rnacentral:rRNA from 1 species